rnacentral:misc_RNA from 1 species
GUGAAUCAUCGAAUUUUUGAACGCAAAUUGCGCUUCUUGGUAUCCCGGGAAGUAUGCCUGUUUGAUGGUCAGUAUUAACAAAAAAUCGGUUUGGUUGCACAUUGUCACUUUUCUGGUGUCUGGUCUAUCUUAACUUUUUUCGUUAAGGGGCUUAAAAUUGACCUUUUUUGCGCUUUUUUUGACGUACAUAAAUUUUUUUUAUUCGUCUAUUCUUAAUGCUAAAAUCUUAUUAGUUUCUUUCAC